UACGUAGGGUGCAAGCGUUAAUCGGAAUUACUGGGCGUAAAGCGUGCGCAGGCGGUUAUAUAAGACAGAUGUGAAAUCCCCGGGCUUAACCUGGGAACUGCAUUUGUGACUGGCAGGCUAGAGUAUGGCAGAGGGGGGUAGAAUUCCACGUGUAGCAGUGAAAUGCGUAGAGAUGUGGAGGAAUACCGAUGGCGAAGGCAGCCCCCUGGGCCAAUACUGACGCUCAUGCACGAAAGCGUGGGGAGCAAACAGG
rnacentral:rRNA from 1 species